AUGCAGAAUUCAGUGAAUCAUCGAAUCUUUGAACGCUCCUUGCGCUCCUUGGUAUUCCGAGGAGCAUGCCUGUUUGAGUGUCAUU
rnacentral:rRNA from 1 species